GCCAGGUGUGGUAGCACACGCCUGUAAUCCCAGCAGCUCGGGAGGCUGAGACAGGAGGAUCACAAGUUCAAAGCCAGCCUCAGCAAUUUAGGCCCUAAGUAACUCAGAGACCCUGUCUCUA
rnacentral:sRNA from 1 species